GCCGGGCAUGAUGGCUCACACCUGUAAUCCCAGCACUUUGGGAGGCCGAGGAGGGCGGAUCACGAGGUCAGGAGAUCGAGACCAUCCUGGCUAACACGGUGAAACCCCGUCUCUACUAAAAAAAUACAAAAAACUAGCCGGGCGAGGUGGCGGCCACCUCGCCCGGCUAGUUUUUUGUAUUUUUUUAGUAGAGACGGGGUUUCACCGUGUUAGCCAGGAUGGUCUCGAUCUCCUGACCUCGUGAUCCGCCCUCCUCGG
rfam:Chlorocebus sabaeus isolate 1994-021 chromosome 12, whole genome shotgun sequence.